GAUCGGCCCGCGUCUGAUUAGCUAGUUGGUGAGGUAAUGGCUCACCAAGGCGACGAUCAGUAGCUGGUCUGAGAGGAUGAUCAGCCACAUUGGGACUGAGACACGGCCCAAACUCCUACGGGAGGCAGCAGUGGGGAAUAUUGGACAAUGGGCGCAAGCCUGAUCCAGCCAUGCCGCGUGAGUGAUGAAGGCCCUAGGGUUGUAAAGCUCUUUUGUGCGGGAAGAUAAUGACGGUACCGCAAGAAUAAGCCCCGGCUAACUUCGUGCCAGCAGCCGCGGUAAUACGAAGGGGGCUAGCGUUGCUCGGAAUCACCGGGCGUAAAGGGUGCGUAGGCGGGUCUUUAAGUCAGGGGUGAAAUCCUGGAGCUCAACUCCAGAACUGCCUUUGAUACUGAAGAUCUUGAGUUCGGGAGAGGUGAGUGGAACUGCGAGUGUAGAGGUGAAAUUCGUAGAUAUUCCCGAGAACACCAGUGGCGAAGGCGGCUCACUGGCCCGAUACUGACGCUGAGGCACGAAAGCGUGGGGAGCAAACAGGAUUAGAUACCCUGGUAGUCCACGCCGUUAAAGAUGAAUGGCCACCGUUUGUGGGUUUACUCACUUGGGGCGCAACUUAAGCUUUUAGCAUUUCGCCUGGGGGGUA
rnacentral:rRNA from 1 species